GUGGGGCGCAGUAUGGGCACUGGACGGCAGAAGCGGAAGGCAUUGUACUGAAUCUGUUUCGAAGCAAUGACUUUUGUUUCGCACUGUUACAUAUUUUUGCUGAGAAAUAUUUUAGUACGAGAAAUAAGGAUAUAUAUAGAGAGAAAAAAUGCCAAACCAUCAUUUCUGGUUGUACCAAAAAGAUAAAAAUUAUUGCAUUCAUGCAGAAGGGCACCAUAUUGGACACUGCUCCCUUUUCAAGAAAAGGGACCUAAAAGAUUUAGUUGAUGUGAAGUGAGGGCUACGGUGAAAUUGGAGAAACAGACUGGAUGUAGAAUGAAAGUCACCAGAAACAUAAGGCCCCUUUGUUUGUUUGGUUUGGCCCAAACAGAUGUCUGUCGCAUCACUAUUCACAGAAUCUGUAGUGUCGUCAGCAUCAUCUUUAUGAAGUGUUCCAGUAGUGUGGCAGUGGUAGCAAAUGACCACAUCUGAAGGACCAUGAUAGCACGUCAUCCCUCCUGAUUGUCAAUGAUACAGUUGCAUAUUUAAUGCAACUGAUAACCGUUCCUGAAUGGAGAGGGGAUCUAGUAUUUGACUACUGUCUCAUGUGAUUGUUAAAUGAUGUCACAACUAGCCAGUUCUUGUUCUUUGCAUUGCUAUCAGAGGAUCGGUGUCCUGUUAAGAGGCAUAUUAACAUUCUUUACCAUGAUUGGCUGCACACUCUCAGGGUUGACGUCUGGUAACCUAAAUACAGCCAAAGCAAGCUGUGGGUAGCAACCCUAGAGAGAAACAUUGAGAGCUGCCCAACACUGUGUUCUGCUGCUGGAGUAGUUGAAACACGGCAAUAUCCUGGAAAUGGAUUGGCAACCUUGUCGUCAAUCACUCGCUUCCUAGACCAGAGCUGAAUUAUCCUUCUACAUUCAUAGGAAGAUGUACGAGAAGAAUGGUGUUAGGAGCAAGUGGAUUGAUGCUUGUGUACAGUGUUUCAUAAGCUGUGCAUGUGUCCUUGUGGUGCCGACUAGCUUGUGCUGCCAUUGAGGUCACAAUUGGGAAUGAUGGCACACAAAGAAUUAUCUUAUGAUGUUCUUGCCUAAAUGUCCUGGUAAGGUUUAAACUCUUCAGUUUGAAGAGCUAUGUUCAGGUGUGUUUGCAUCCUGUGGAUUCCCAAUGACAAACCACGUGAACUGACCCUAUUGUGGUAUUGUGGUUGGAGGCUAGACUGGCAAACAGACCUUAAUGCUGAAAGCUUGGUUUGCUGUCAGAUCCCUUUUCCUAAACUGUGUCCUUAUGCAAUAUUGUGUGUGUGUAUGUAUGUGUGUGUGUGUGUGUGUGUGUGUGU